AUUCCAGGACAUGUAUUUAUUGUUUGUUUGCUGGGAGUAUUAUGAAUAGUUAAGAACCGUCAGAAGUUUAUCAAAUAUAUCUCAACGAAAGGAUCAUUUCACCUUCUACAGGUUCUCAUUAAUUUUUCAAGCUCAAACUCAGCGGAGUUUAAUCUACAAUGAAUGACCCAAAAUUUGGAAACCCUCCUACUAGACCUCCAAAGCCACCGGCUUCACCACCUCCAUCCAAACCUUGUAAGGACAACAAAGACUGAAACGAAGCGGUGUUUAUUUCAGAAGAGUGGAAAUAAAAAGGACCGUUAUGUU